AAGAACAUUAUUAAAUCUUCGUAUUUACAACGCUAAAAUCAGGGGUUCGAUUCCCCUCGGUGAACACAGCAGAUAACUGGAUGUGGCUUUGCUAUAAAAACAUACGCAUACACACAUUAAAUUUUGCAUAACAUAACAUACACACAAUGUGAGGGAGG